ensembl:lncRNA
GUCGUCGAUUGUGAAAUGUCAUGCGGUUUAUUUUCCAGCUUUAUUUGCGUGGCAUUGUAACUUAAUGGAUUUUUUUUUUUCAAUAAUCAAAUCGCACAGUUCCGACAAGUUUUAAAAAGCACCCGUCUGCUGUAGGAAAGCGUGGGAGUUUUACCUCUCUCCCCCUCUGUCCGACACAAAUGGUUCGGCUGCGUGCGGAUAUUGUUACCGAAGGUGUUUCGGUUUGCGGUCCGCUGCUCGCGCUCAGCUGGUCUCACGCAUGAGCCGCACCGCACGAGACGCGCAGCGGUGCGCCGGACGGACGGUCCGAUUGCGCUCGCGAGGGGUCGCGGCUGGGGGGCGGGGGUAAGGCAGCGGCUGGUCGUCGAGUCGCGGAUCGCGGAAAGAUGACUUAAGCCACGCGCUCGCGCUGCUGGCCAGGGCUCGGAGGAGGUGUGAAAAGCAUUCCAGGAGGUCCCGAGGGCAACCGGCCGACGGGCAGCCGGCAACGUGUCCUGUCGUCCUACGCGCCCUACGUAGCAGUAAUAAAUAUGGCUCUCAGGGGCCUUAGUAUGCACUGGAACGCGCGGGGCCUGGGCUGUGUGUUACCAUGGUGAUCCUUUACUCUAAGACACUGGAAAAGAAGAAGGGUGUUGAUGAUGUAACAUCCAGGCAGUCACACUUGGAGCUGUGUGAGCCGCGGACCAUGAGCAGAGGGACGGCACUCUUCUCGUGCAGCACUGUAGAGGCUGACGGAUGGCACAAUCUCAGCCGGAGUUGUGGUCUUCAGCAGGAGCCAGCAAGUGGUGGCUUUGACAGUCUGUGGGGGGUGCUGCCCACAACAUGCCACAGGGGCCGCUUAUGGGCUGGGGAGGUGGACUCCACUAGCGUGCCCAUCACUAGUCUGAUUCAGGGCUUGAGCCUGAGCGACCCCAGGGCUACUUCCUCCCCAGUUCCUGCCUCUUCUACCUCCCCUUCGGCCGCACCCCCUAGCAAGCGUCAGUGCCGCUCGUUGUCCUUCUCAGCGUGGCGCCCUCAAGGCUCACGAGUGUGGACUGCCGUGGAGAAGAGGCGCUGCCACAGUGGGGGGAGUGCGCCACGUAGCUCCGGGGGACCAUCUCCAGGAGGAGGCCUGCCCACUAUGCAACGAAGCUCCAGCUUCAGUCUACCUGCUCGCUCCAAUGCCCUGCCCGCAGGCUUUGAGCUGCCCAGCUUCUCCUUCUCCUUCACUGGCACCGUGGAUCCAGUGCCACGGCCUCUCUCUUUGUCCCAUGAACUUAUUGCUAGUCCCUCGGAACCUUGCCGUCCCUUGGCCGCCAGUUCCCCGGAAUCAACACCGGAGUUUGUGCGGCGCCAGGGUCCCGGGGGUCUGGCCCGCAGCCACUCGCAGCCUUGCGUCCUGAACGACAAGAAAGUCGGCGUGAAGCGCAGGAGGCCAGGCCAAGGCAAGGAGCAAAGGCCUUCACUGGACCUGGCCAAGAUGACACAGAAACUUCGCAAUUUCCAGAGCCUCAGCUGCCCCGGGUUCGCUGGGUCAGGCAGCUACCAGUCAGGCCGUGACCUGAACUCCUAUGGCAAUGCUGGCCCAUUUGAGACUGAUUUUGCCUCUGCAUGUGGCCUGGGGGCAGAGCCUGAGCAGAAGACAAGCAAGGGUGGAGAGAACAUGGAUGACUUCUCAAGCGAGGAGUUGGACAGUGAUUCUACAGGAUCAGUGGGGACAACAAAUGGAGAAGACAGUGAUGUGACCUGGCAGGGGUCACAUGACACCAAAAAAGAUGCCAGUCAGCUGGGUGGUGAGCUGGACAUUGAGCAGAUUGAGAGGAACUGAGAAGAUGUUCUUCAAAGGCAAGGACAGCAGAUGGUGUUAAGAAAGCGAGGGAAUGUGGAUGGCUAGGAAAUAAGACAUUGAAAAAGAAAGUUGGAUUAAGGGAAUACAACAAUGUGGCAGGGAAGUCUUGGGCCAGCUGGGCACAGUGACUUGCAGCUGUCAGGGAACUAUGGAUUGCAGAGACACUGAAAAAGAGGCCUGGUAAUGAAUGUUCCAGGAUAUUUAAUUUUUUUAAUCCCUGUGUCUACUCUGGUACAGUGUCCUUAGUUUGGGGGCAGGUGCUGAGUGGGAUGAUAGGGCAGUGUCUGGUUCACUGGUUUGCAGAGGAGAUGAGGGUGAAAGGAGUUCUCAGUAGCAUGUUUUCCAAACCUCUCCACUAGCCUGAUGGUCCCUAUGUAUUCAUCAUAGAGGAAAUAAACAAGAGGUUUGUACAAAUUAAUUUUAACGG